rnacentral:tRNA from 3 species
CGGAGUGUAGCUCAGCCUGGUAGAGCACUGUCUUCGGGAGGCAGGGGUCGUGAGUUCAAAUCUCGCCACUCCGACCA